GAACAGCACAAUAGAUCAAUUUGGGCUAAGGUUCAACCGUUUGCUGAAAUAAGUUGUCCAAUAACGGAGAAUCACUAUAUAAAGCUUAUACAGAACAUAGUAACUGUAAGCACUGCGGUUCCAGCUGAUAUAUAUCCUGUUUUCUAACAAGCGAAGAGGGUCGUCUGAAUCAAAUCAGCAACAUCAUAACUGGUGGCUCUCUUCACUCUCCUGGGGCAGAGACACCUUGCUUCAGUUUUUCCCUCUUCAUCUUCUUCUUCGAGACUGGCUUCUUUUUGCGAGGAGGAAGCGUCUUCUGAGCGUACACAUAGAGAGCGUAGUUCCCGACAAAGAAAAGCAGCAGGAAGGUCGCGACCACAAUCAGGACUAUCAUUCCAGGGUUCAGUCCCUUGUUGACCUCCUCAAUGACUACAUUGUUC
rnacentral:sRNA from 1 species